rnacentral:tRNA from 1 species
UCCCUGGUGGUCCAGUGGUUAAGACUUGGCGCUUUCACUGCUGUGGGUUCAGGUUCAAUCCCUGAUUGAGGGA